UACGAGGGGUGCAAGCGUUGCUCGGAAUUAUUGGGCGUAAAGGGUAGGUAGGUGGUCUCAUUUGUCUGGGGUGAAAGCCUUGAGCUUAACUCAAGAAGUGCCCCAGAAACGGUGAGACUGGAGUCUUGGAGAGGGUCGUGGAAUUCCCGGUGUAGCGGUGAAAUGCGUAGAGAUCGGGAGGAACACCAGAGGCGAAGGCGGCGACCUGGACAAUUGCUGACGCUCAGGCACGAAGCGUGGGGAGCAAAAGGG
rnacentral:rRNA from 1 species